rnacentral:rRNA from 1 species
CAGUCGCCACGGUAAUACGUAGGUGGCAAGCGUUGUCCGGAAUUAUUGGGCGUAAAGGGCUCGCAGGCGGUUUCUUAAGUCUGAUGUGAAAGCCCCCGGCUCAACCGGGGAGGGUCAUUGGAAACUGGGAAACUUGAGUGCAGAAGAGGAGAGUGGAAUUCCACGUGUAGCGGUGAAAUGCGUAGAGAUGUGGAGGAACACCAGUGGCGAAGGCGACUCUCUGGUCUGUAACUGACGCUGAGGAGCGAAAGCGUGGGGAGCGAACAGGAUUAGAUACCCGGGUAGUCCCUGUCUCUUAUAU